GAUGAACGCUAGCGGCAGGCCUAACACAUGCAAGUCGAGGGAGAAGCCCUUUCGGGGGCAGAAACCGGCGCACGGGUGCGUAACGCGUAUGCAACCUACCUUUCACAGGGGGAUAGCCCGAAGAAAUUUGGAUUAAUACCCCAUAAUAUUAUUGAAUGGCAUCAUUUGAUAAUUAAAACUGCGGUGGUGAAAGAUGGGCAUGCGUCCUAUUAGCUAGUUGGAGUGGUAACGGCACCCCAAGGCUACGAUAGGUAGGGGUCCUGAGAGGGAGAUCCCCCACACUGGUACUGAGACAGGGACCAGACUCCUACGGGAGGCAGCAGUGAGGAAUAUUGGUCAAUGGUCGGAAGACUGAACCAACCAUGCCGCGUGCAGGAAGAAUGCCUUAUGGGUUGUAAACUGCUUUUAUAUGGGAAGAAUAAGGCGUAUCGUGUACGUUGAUGACGGUACCAUAUGAAUAAGCAU
rnacentral:rRNA from 1 species